UACCGUUCAGAACAUGGAACAUGAAAUUACAGAAAUUCCAGAUUUUUUCCAAACCUAAAAAACUGUAGGGUCAGGUGCGAAAAAUUAAGGAUAUUAGAACAAAAUAAGAAGAAUAAUUGUCAAGUGCCCACUGAUGCUGGAGUCCAUGCUGUAGAAAAGACAUGAAACAGAAGUGAGAAAAUGUCGACAUCAGUCAUCUAUGAAGAUGGAGAUUGCCUCUAUUCUAAAAUUUCCGAGGAAAAUGGUGUUGUCUGCCUCAUCCAAUGAUCACUCCAUUUGCAGACUACCAGGUUUCAAUCUGAGGUAUACAUAGGAAGAGCAAAAUCUUUCUCAUUCAUACAAUGUAAACACUUACAACCUGUGAUCCAGAAAAAUGUC